UACGAAGGGGGCUAGCGUUGCCCGGAAUCACUGGGCGUAAAGCGCACGUAGGCGGCUUGUUAAGUCAGGGGUGAAAUCCUGGAGCUCAACUCCAGAACUGCCUUUGAUACUGGCGAGCUUGAGUUCGGGAGAGGUGAGUGGAACUGCGAGUGUAGAGGUGAAAUUCGUAGAUAUUCGCAAGAACGCCAGUGGCGAAGGCGGCUCACUGGCCCGAUACUGACGCUGAGGUGCGAAAGCGUGGGGAGCAAACAGG
rnacentral:rRNA from 1 species